UACGUAGGUGGCGAGCGUUGUCCGGAUUUACUGGGCGUAAAGGGCUUGUAGGCGGUCCGUUAAGUCCGAUGUGAAAUCUCCCGGCUCAACUGGGAGAGGUCAUUGGAUACUGGCGGACUAGAGGGGGGUAGAGGAAAGCAGAAUUCCUGGUGUAGCGGUGAAAUGCGUAGAUAUCAGGAGGAACACCGGUGGCGAAGGCGUCCCUCUGGCCGGAUACUGACGCUGAGACGCGAAAGCGUGGGGAGCAAACAGG
rnacentral:rRNA from 1 species